rnacentral:rRNA from 1 species
AUUGAACGCUGGCGGAAUGCUUUACACAUGCAAGUCGAACGGCAGCACGGACUUCGGUCUGGUGGCGAGUGGCGAACGGGUGAGUAAUGUAUCGGAACGUGCCCAGUCGUGGGGGAUAACGUAGUGAAAAUUACGCUAAUACCGCAUACGAUCUAUGGAUGAAAGCGGGGGAUCGCAAGACCUCGCGCGAUUGGAGCGGCCAAUAUCAGAUUAGGUAGUUGGUGGGGUAAAGGCCCACCAAGCCAACGAUCUGUAGCUGGUCUGAGAGGACGACCAGCCACACUGGAACUGAGACACGGUCCAGUCUCCUACGGGAGGCAGCAGUGGGGAAUUUUGGACAAUGGGCGAGAGCCUGAUCCAGCCAUUCCGCGUGCAGGAUGAAGGCCCUCGGGUUGUAAACUGCUUUUGUACAGAACGAAAAGGUUUCUACUAAUACUAGGAGCUCAUGACGGUACUGUAAGAAUAAGCACCGGCUAACUACGUGCCAGCAGCCGCAGUAA